AGGCCGGGAACUCAAAGGAGACUGCCAGUGAUAAACUGGAGGAAGGUGGGGAUGACGUCAAGUCAUCAUGGCCCUUACGACCAGGGCUACACACGUGCUACAAUGGCGCAUACAAAGAGAAGCGACCUCGCGAGAGCAAGCGGACCUCAUAAAGUGCGUCGUAGUCCGGAUUGGAGUCUGCAACUCGACUCCAUGAAGUCGGAAUCGCUAGUAAUCGUGGAUCAGAAUGCUACGGUGAAUACGUUCCCGGGCCUUGUACACACCGCCCGUCACACCAUGGGAGUGGGUUGCAAAAGAAGUAGGUAGCUUAACCUUCGGGAGGGCGCUUACCACUUUGUGAUUCAUGACUGGGGUGAAGUCGUAACAAGGUAACCGUAGGGGAACCUGCGGUUGGAUCACCUCCUUACCUUAAAGAAGC
rnacentral:rRNA from 1 species